rnacentral:rRNA from 1 species
UACGACUACAUAUCAGGCAUAUCAAUAAGCGGAGGAAAAGAAACUAACAAGGAUUCCCUUAGUAACGGCGAGUGAAGCGGGAAGAGCUCAAAUUUGAAAUCUUCAAGGUUCUACCUUGACGAAUUGUAGUUUAAAGAAGUGUUUUCUGUUAGAUGAGUAGCAAAAGUUCCUUGGAAUGGGACAUCAUAGAGGGUGAGAAUCCCGUAUUUGGUUAUUCAUUCUAGCUUUGUGAUACACUUUCAAAGAGUCGGAUUGUUUGGGAAUGCAGUCCAAAAUGGGUGGUAAAUUUCAUCUAAAGCUAAAUAUUGGCGAGAGACCGAUAGCGAACAAGUACCGUGAGGGAAAGAUGAAAAGAACUUUGAAAAGAGAGUUAAACAGUACGUGAAAUUGUCAAAAGGGAAGCGUUUGACACCAGUGUUGUUUUUCCAAAAUCAAUUACGAAUGGCUUGAUUUUGUGUUGUAUUGACCUUAUCAGCUUUCUUCACUUUUUUCGAGUCUUUCUUAAUGCACUUUUCGGUUAACAAGUCAACAUCAAUUUCUUUUGCUGUAAAAGAGUAUUCGGAAGGUGGCUUUCUUUUCGGAGAAAGUGUUUAUAGCCCUAUACUUCUACAAUCGGAGAGAUUGAGGUCUGCAGCGUAGAUCCUUCGGGGUUAGAUACACUUUGUGCUAAGUUGUAGCUUUUCAUAGACAACUCGUUGACUAUGUUUAGUCAUGCGGCUUACUCGCUUGUGCUAUUUUACCUACGCUUAGGAUGUUGAGUAGCGACAUACGCAC